GACCUCAGAUCAGGCAAGAUUACCUGCUGAACUUAAGCAUAUCACUAAGCAGAGGAAAAGAAACUAACCAGGAUUCCCUUAGUAACGGCGAGUGAACCGGGAAAAGCCCAACUGAAAAUCCUUCGGGAAUUGUAGUCUACAGAAGCAAUCUCUGUGUCGUCCACGGCCCAAGUUCCCUGGAAAGGGACGCCGGAGAGGGUGAGAGCCCCGUUGUGCCCG
rnacentral:rRNA from 1 species